rnacentral:lncRNA from 1 species
AUCAGCGUUGCUGAAAGCAGCUGUCCAGGUCUCUUGUCGCUUAAAUUCCACUUCUCCUUGGAGCGGGGAUGAAGUCUGAGAUCUCGAAUGUGGCCUCUGAGGCCCCAUAAGAUCAGGCCCUGCUUUGUGUCCUGAUGCCAAGGUCCUCAAUGCUGAGAGCCCUGAGCCCAAGACAAGGUGUGGUGCACACAGACCUUGCCUGGAUCUUUUCGAAACCAGUGGUGGAUGGCCAAGAUUCAUUUCCACUUAUUUCCCAUGCAAAAGGCAAAGUUGUCAGCUGUUUGGUGAAUAUGUCAGAGCUCUGGCCUAGAAGAAUCUCCUGGAACCCUGGCUGCCUGGGUUCCAGUCGAGAAGGCCAGUGUCUACUCACCACAAAAAAUCACAGGAAAGAGGAAAAGAGCAUCUCCCCCGGUGUGAAAGCCCAAACAGAGGAGUUGCCUUGUGGAGGGAAGCAGUUCUAAUCACUCCGGUGCUCCAGAAAACACUUCAUGCCCAGCAAGGCAGCCCCUGGGUUCCCCCCGCCAUUUCAGCCAUGU